rnacentral:rRNA from 1 species
UACGGAGGGUGCAAGCGUUGUCCGGAAUCACUGGGCGUAAAGAGCUCGUAGGCGGUCUGUCGCGUCGGCUGUGAAAACCCGGGGCUCAACCCCGGGCCUGCAGUCGAUACGGGCAGACUAGAGUGCGGUAGGGGAGACUGGAAUUCCUGGUGUAGCGGUGAAAUGCGCAGAUAUCAGGAGGAACACCGGUGGCGAAGGCGGGUCUCUGGGCCGUAACUGACGCUGAGGAGCGAAAGCGUGGGGAGCGAACAGG